GGAAUAUAAGAACCUGUUUCUUAAUUUUUAACUAAAAAAAACUAAGAACCGGUUCCUAAAUAAGAGUUUUAAGAGCUGGUUCUUAACUUUUUUAGUUAAAAGUUAAGAGACGGGUUCUUAUAUUCC
rfam:Brassica oleracea var. oleracea cultivar TO1000 chromosome C3, whole genome shotgun sequence